CAAAAACACAUUUUCCUUCCAAGCUGACAACCUCGCCCCGCCCCAUCCUCCCUCUUCUCUUGCUCCGUAACCUCAGUAAGUAAAGAUGGGAAAGUGAAAGCUAGAAAGUCCAUAGCUUGACCACAGCUUUGGUUUGAACUUUCAAAUCUGGAAGUGGAACAUCUUGACAAAAAGAAGUAGUUGAUAUUAGGUUCCAGAUUUGCAAUGCAGAAUUAUGUCAGCAGUUCUGCUACAAAAAUGAAUGAACAUGAAAAAGCAGACUUUGUUGAUGAAAACAGGGCACAGUUAAUCCAAGAGGUUUCUGAAGUGCUGGCGAUAGCAGAAGAGCUUGGAGACCUGGUCCAUCCUGAAGCCUAUGCACUGAUUGAAGCUAAAGAGACAAGCCAGGAAAAAAUGAGGGUGCUCUUUCAAAGAACACUGCGUUCAGGAGGGGUGACGGCCAAAGCAGCCUUCUUUGAUGCCCUUAAAAAACAUCAUCCAAAUCUAGUGGAGGGGCUUGGUGGCUAAUUCCAAAGCAGCUUUGGCAUUCCUGCAUUUUUUGGACAGAAGUGUCAAAGACCUUUCCUGCCCUUUAAAAAAAUGAAUUUUUUGUGAAAAAUAUGUAUUAUGUUUGAUACAUGACUUUUUGAAACCUCUACAUCAUCAGUGUGAUUUUUUUUCCUCCUAAAGACCUAAAUAGAUUUCACACAAAAUUUCUAAAGAUGAAACUGCAAAAAAAAUGUCAGAAUUAGCAAAUACGAUACAAUUUAAAGUCAAAUGUGCCAAUUUCUUCUUAUCGUUUUAUAAUUUGUCAAUAAACAGCCCAUUUUUUUAAA